rnacentral:tRNA from 1 species
GCCUGGGUGGCUCAGUUGGUUGAGCAUCCGACUUCAGCUCAGGUUAUGAUUUUGCGGUCCAUGGGUUCGAGCCCUAUGUCGGGCU